rnacentral:misc_RNA from 1 species
GAAAGCGUUUUGUACAAUGCAUUUUGUGUUUGUAUGCGGAGCGCCGCGCUGAGCCUUCAGUUCGAUUGUCGUUUACGCUGCCACGCUCCCGAAGCGGUACACCUGCGAUAAGUAUCGGACCGCUGUCGCCGUGAUGGAGAGCCUUGCCUAACUGAGCUUGCGCCCAAACAAUUACAUCAUGGCUCUCUUCGGCGAUUUCGACGAGGCAGGCCCAUAUGGCGUCGAGCGCUGCGCGGGCGGUUUCGGGCGCCAUCACGCGUUAGUCUCGACAAAAUGGCGUCGCAGAUCGUGGCUCAUGUCCGUCUCCCAUCUUACUGGCGUCGCGCCAGCACGGCGCAAUGCCCCGAAAGUUCGGGGCCAAGCGGGGAUGAGGAGCGGGGCGUAGAUUCGUGCGUGGUCGUGAUCGAUGGGCAGCCCUUUGCGCGGCGCAAUACGCCGCCUCCGUGGCUUAUAGCAGUGCUCGUUUUCGCCAAGCAGUCCAGUCCAACUUGCGCCUGGCCGAUGGCCUGCGCGUCGGCUGGUAGGCGCCUCGCUGCGGCUGAUAGCGUUGUACGCGUAUUCCACAGCGAACUCGCCUAUCGUUGCGCCAUGGCUUUCUGGGGCGUUUUGACCCGACUUAAAAAAGACGCCCCCACGCUGGUGCAUGAGGGCGUAAUUCCAUUUC